rnacentral:rRNA from 1 species
UACGAAGGGGGCGAGCGUUGUUCGGAUUUACUGGGCGUAAAGCGCGGGCAGGCGGCGUGUCAAGUGGGAUGUGAAAGCGCUCAGCUAAACUGGGCGAGGCCAUUCCAAACUGACAGGCUGGAGGGCAGUAGAGGUCGGUAGAAUUCCGCGUGUAGUGGUGAAAUGCGUAGAUAUGCGGAGGAACACCAGUGGCGAAGGCGGCCACCUGGACCGUCCCUGACGCUCAAACACGAAAGCUAGGGUAGCGAACGGG